rnacentral:rRNA from 1 species
CUACGGGAUGCUCCAGUGGGGAAUAUUGGACAAUGGGCGAAAGCCUGAUCCAGCAAUGCCGCGUGAGUGAUGAAGGCCUUAGGGUUGUAAAGCUCUUUUACCCGGGAUGAUAAUGACAGUACCGAGAGAAUAAGCUCCGGCUAACUCCGUGCCAGCAGCCGCGGUAAUACGGAGGGAGCUAGCGUUGUUCGGAAUUACUGGGCGUAAAGCGCACGUAGGCGGCUUUGUAAGUUAGAGGUGAAAGCCUGGAGCUCAACUCCAGAACUGCCUUUAAGACUGCAUCGCUUGAAUCCAGGAGAGGUGAGUGGAAUUCCGAGUGUAGAGGUGAAAUUCGUAGAUAUUCGGAAGAACACCAGUGGCGAAGGCGGCUCACUGGACUGGUAUUGACGCUGAGGUGCGAAAGCGUGGGGAGCAAACAGGAUUAGAUACCCCGGUAGUC